AGCAGCCGCGGUAAUUCCAGCUCCAAUAGCGUAUAUUAAAGUUGUUGCAGUUAAAAAGCUCGUAGUUGAAUUUCGGGGUCAGUAGGUUGGUCGUGCCACCGGUACGUACUGGUCUCACUGAUUCCUCCUUCCUGAUGAGCUGUAAUGCCAUUAAUUUGGUGUUGCAGGGAAUCUGGACUGUUACUUUGAAAAAAUUAGAGUGUUUAAAGCAGGCUAACGCUUGAAUACAUUAGCAUGGAAUAAUGAAAUAGGACGUUCGAUCCUAUUUUGUUGGUUUCUAGGAUUGACGUAAUGAUUAAUAGGGAUAGUUGGGGGCAUUAGUAUUCAAUUGUCAGAGGUGAAAUUCUUGGAUUUAUUGAAGACUAACUACUGCGAAAGCAUUUGCCAAGGAUGUUUUCAUUAAUCAAGAACGAAAGUUAGGGGAUCGAAGACGAUCAGAUACCGUCGUAGUCUUAACCAUAAACUAUGCCGACUAGGGAUCGGA
rnacentral:rRNA from 1 species